GCCUGGGUAGCUCAGUCGGUUGAGCAUCUAACUUCGGCUCAGGUCAUGAUUUCGCAGUUUAUGGGUUCCAGCCCCACAUCAGGCU
rnacentral:tRNA from 1 species